GCUAGGCAUGGUGUCACAUGUCUGUAAUCCCAGCAACUGGGAGACUGAGGCAGGAGGAUUGCAAGUUCAAGGCCAACUUUAGCAACUUAGUGAGACCCUGUCUCAA
rnacentral:sRNA from 1 species